UCUCGAUCCUCUCAUCGGCCGCCAAUGCCUUAUUCAGCUCCAACACAAAAUCCCUAUAGUACCUAACAUACUUGCGCAUCGGCGCAUCUGGUGGCGCCACCACAGAGCCAUUCCAGAGUGUGUUGUCGUAGCCGAUAACGCCACCAAUUUUCACGAGGUCUAGGAUGCGCUUGUGGUAGUUGAGGUAGUUGUCCUUAUCGGCAUCGACAAAGAUGAAGUCAUACGAGCCAUGAAAGGAUGGGUCUUCCACCAACUGGUCAAGGAGUGGCAGUGCUGGUCCCUCACGGAAGUCGAUCUUGUGGGCAACUCCGGCUUUCUGGAUGACUGGGAGUCCGAGUUCGUAGUUCUCGCGAUUCACGUCCAUGGCAAGUAUCUUGCCGUCCUCCGGCAGCGCCAGUGCGGUGGCUAGCAGCGAAUAGCCGGUGUACACGCCGAUCUCCAUAGUGUUCUUUGCUCCGAUGAGCUUGAGCAGCAUGCUCAAGAACUGGCCCUCAUCAGCCGACGUCGUCAUUAGAUUCCACGGGUGUUUGGCGGUAAUGUCGCGGAGCUCCUUCAUCGCCGGUGGCUCGCGAGGAUACACGCUCGUCUCGAGUAUGUACUGGUAUAGCGCGUCACUCUGGAGGAGCGACUUGUGGCCCACCUCCUGAUGCCGGGUCUUCUCCUCGCCGUUUGUGGCGGCGGCUGCGGGGGUGGCGGCGGGGGCGGCGUCGGCCGUCGACAUUGAAGCAGCUCCGAUCUGGAUGUAGUGAGGGGGGUUGAG
rnacentral:misc_RNA from 1 species